rnacentral:rRNA from 1 species
GCACAGCCCUAAACUUAGAUAGUUUACCACACCCACUAUCCGCCCGGGAACUACGAGCACUAGCUUAAAACCCAAAGGACUUGGCGGUGCUUUACAUCCACCUAGAGGAGCCUGUUCUAGAACCGAUAACCCCCGUUAAACCUCACCCUCUCUUGUCAAACCCGUCUAUAUACCGCCGUCGUCAGCUUACCUUGUGAAAGUCUAACAGUAAGCGAAACCAGCACAGCUCAAAACGCCAGGUCGAGGUGUAGCGCAUGAGAGGGGCAGAAAUGGGCUACACUCCCUACUAUAAGGGAAAACGAAUAGUGCACUGAAACGUGUGCUAGAAGGAGGAUUUAGUAGUAAGCAGAAAAUAGAGUGUUCUGCUGAAUCUGGCCCUAGAGCGCGC